UACAUCACUUGAUCCAGAAAUCUGAUCUUGGUUGACUUUUCAAGUCAGACAAGUGCGUGAAUGGGAAUUAAAUUUGUUGAAUACCCUGACAUGCGUGACUGCAUUUCUUGAUCAAUUACCCUUGAACUUGUGUUUUUGGAUUUAUGUGGUACCUACAAGAAAAACUAACAUUAUGCAGCCUUUAUUUCUGCCAUCAUUUGUCACCAUCUACACUUCCCUUUUGACGGCCAGCUUGUGCUCCCCUCCUGCCCCCGCAGACCCGGCGGGUAGCGACGAGUGGAUGCCGACGAGUACCAGCGGGAAUCUACACGCAAUUUCUGUUAAUAAUGAUUCUCUACCAGUCAAUACUCUAAGCUUAAAAUCAAAUGGACAAGGUCAAGCAGCUACAGGUUAUUCUGAUUAUUCAAGAACAAUAAACAAUUCUCUCGUCCAAGAACAGAUUUUGCUUGAUAUUUACGAUCAAUACAAUGAUGUUUCAUUGCCAGCGGAGAAAGAUUUUACAAAAUGCCUUCACAGACAGGAAUUGUUGAACGAUUACAGCAAUGCUUCUUCUGCUUUCAUCGAGUGUGCAGUUAGAAAUGCUAAACCAGUAUUGUAUUGCGGGCAUUGUGUCUUCGAAUUUGAGCAAUCAAAGAAAGCAUGGAAUAAUAUUGAAUCUGAUGCAGAAUGUAAGGAAGACAUACUGGUUUCAGAUAAACUGCAGAUUGUGAGUCAAACGCAAACCUUCCUCGCUCAGCUGUGGCAUGAUGGGUAUUGUCAAAAUUGCUAUGAUGAAAAGCAGAACUUUAAUGCAACCAACUCGACUCGUGAAUUCAAAGAGAAAUACCGGGACACAUGGGCCUGCUUUCGGUACAAUGGUGGAUCCUCGGACAACCCUGUUCCAAUCGGCUCCAACCUGACGUUAUGUGGUAAUUGCAGUGAGGAAUAUGAGACGCUGAAUAAUCUCUACAAUGGCUUCAGUGACGAACAACUCUGUAUGGACAUCAUAGACUUGAUGAACCGGACACGGGUCCUAUGGAAAGACUACCACUGCCGGAAGACCAAGAAAGAGUAUUUAGCAGUGAUUGUCCUGAGCGUCUUCAUCUGUAUCUUACCGUUCUUCUUCUACCUUACAGCAAUGAUACAUGGUACAAAGAAACAACAGAGGCUUGUAGAAAAAUCUAAAAAAGGGAAUCAAAGAGGAUUAUCUGCAUCAGCAAGACUCUAUGCUGGGACAACGACAUCAUUGCGCUAGAGUAUUAAGCCUUGAGUACAGAUCAUUGAGGACUGAGGACGGUAAACAAACAAGAGACUCCAAAGAUCUACCCCAGAAUCCUUUCACCAGCACCAGGGUUGCCUAGGCCAAUAAUGGCCGAGAAGUAUGCGUAACGCACCUCGCCGAUCUGGCAGGAAGGUGCCAAUUGAGGUGAGGAGUUUUCGUGGACCGGUGGAUCUGAGAUUAAGUUAUUAAAAAAAGGAAAAGAAGAUGAAGAAAAAAAAAAGAAUAUAUUAUCAAAAACUAGAGAUUUAUAAACAGAAUGAAUUUCCAAAUACAUAUAGUAAACGAAAAAGUAAGACAAAAAAGGGAAAGGUGUAAAUAUUCUUAAAAAGAAUGAAACGCUAUAACACCAAAAAACAACAACAGCAUUGCAAAAAUAAUUUAUCAGUUCUACCGUGUAGAAAGCUCAUUGAUGGAGCUUCUCAUGGUAAGUAUUUGUGAUGCCUGCCUGGUAAGCUAACACAGGAAUGAGAUUCCUCCACAGAUCAGCGGAUUUGCGCUGAUUUUGAUAAUUCAGGACGGGAAAAAACAGAAAUUAAAGUUUUUUGUCUUUCUUUUUCAUCUGAACAUUGUUAUAGAGUCCCUUUAAGGUAGAUGGGGGUAACAAAUAUUUUCUCAAAUUAAGAAUUUAAAUGCAAGGAAAACGUGUCCGUUUAUGAUAGGGGGAGGGGGCACAGACCCCAUAACCCCCUCCUAGGGGCGUUGCCAGGGGACCCUCAUUUAAUAAUCUUCCUCCUUUUUGGGAAAUUUCUCUGUCUCAUCCCUGAUAUCACUGUUGGUGAUUGUCAUGGUGACUAUCUGUGUUGCCUGCCUGGUAAGAUUACACUGCUGGAAUCAGAUUGUCUUCAAUUUAUUGUCUGCCAUUUUGGGUAUUUAUAACGUCAAGAGUAAUAUUCCUAUACUUCACCCAGCUGCCUCUAUAUGCACUAAUAAUCCAGAUUGUGGUGAUAAUACAAACCUGCUGUAGUGACCACCUGUCUACAAAGACCACAUUUUUGUUUCCCUUGAAAAUGGUUUCUCAUUGAAACAUAUACUAAAGGCAACUGUCUAUAAAGACCACCUGCCUAUAGAGACCACUUUUCUUGUCUCCCUUGUGUGGUCUUUAUAGACAGGUUCCACUGUAAUACAAUGAGGUUCAUAUUGAUAAGAGCAGACUUAUUUCUGUGGGUACAUGCCUCCUUGCACAUGUAUUUCUAAAAACAUUUGUAGCACUAGCUGAAGAAGAUAUGAAGUUUUCAUACUGUGCACACCAAACAUAUUUGUAAUAGAAGCUUUGCUAUUUGUGUUCUUGACUUUACUCAAAUAACUAACAUUUCUGACUUGGACUAUUACAAAAGGAUAAUGCCAAGCUUUUCAAUCCUUAAGAUUUCAUGUCAUUUCAUAUUCAGUCAAAAUUAUAAUAACGAUAAUACACUUUACCUGUUUCUGGCAUUUCGAUGAUGAAAUGUGAAUGCAUAUUUGGAUUUCAUGACUGACUUUGAUUUUGGACUAUAAUUAUCAUGCACCAUGUCUUCCAUGAAACGAAAUCUGAUGAAAAAUAAGAGAGUAAUGAAUUUUGAAGGCUGCAAUAAAUCAAACACUGAUAUGGCAACUCUGUAAUGUAUCUUGCAAGCUCUUUUCCAAUUUGCUCUGUACA
rnacentral:lncRNA from 1 species